rnacentral:rRNA from 1 species
AUGAGGCAACCUCCAGGGUAUGAAGAUCCGACUAGGAGACAACAUGUAUGUAAAUUGGAUAAAGCUCUCUAUGGCCUGAAACAGGCUCCUCGAGCAUGGUUUUCUAGACUCAGCUCAAAACUAAUGGCUCUAGGAUUUUCCUCUUCGCGGGCGGACACAUCAUUGUUCUUCAUAAAUCAAGGUGGGAUUACAAUGUACCUUCUUAUUUAUGUGGAUGACAUCAUAGUCGCAAGUUCGUCCGAUUCUGUAGUUAGCGCCUUGCUCAAAGAUCUGCAACGUGAUUUUGCUCUUAAAGAUUUGGGAAAUCUCCAUUAUUUUCUUGGCAUUGAGGUGAAAAGGAAAGAUAAUGGGAUAUUGUUGACACAGGAGAAAUAUGCUAAUGACCUUCUGAAGCGAGUUGCAAUGCAACACUGCAAGCCAUCGGAUACACCACUCUCAGUUUCAGAAAAAUUAUCAAUUGAAGAUGGUGACCGGCUCAGUGAUGAUGAUGGAACCAGAUAUAGAAGUAUAGUGGGAGCAUUGCAGUACUUGACCUUGACAAGACCAGAUAUUGCUUUUGCUGUGAACAAAGUUUGUCAGUUUCUUCAUUCACCCACUAGCGUACAUUGGACUGCAGUUAAGAGAAUUCUGCGAUAUGUUAGAGGUACGGUUGGAGUAGGACUAAAAAUUACAAAUUCCAAGUCUACUCUUGUCAGUGCCUUCUCAGAUGUGGGCUGGUAG